GAAUGGAGCCCACAGGGCCACUGUUUAAAGGGCUGUGGGGCAGGAGCACUGCUGCAGAAUCAUCCUGGAGAUAAGUGGCCUGUUACCUGGGAAGGGAAGGAAGUUAACCUCUCCCCACCCCCACCCUCCCCACUCCUCCAGCCACCAAGGUACGUGUCAGCUGGCCCGGAGGAUUCCGUCAGGCUUGCAUUUCCCUCCAGUGGCCAAAGAGGAAACCACAGCAAGUGUCCCUCAGAACCAGGCAGUCCUCGCUGCGCUUGGCUCUCUCACAGAUCUCAUCCUUGAGCAAGAGGAGGGCGUCUCCUGGGAACAGAACCAAUCUGUGAAAGUCAGCCUGUGCCCAUCUCAAGUUUUUAUCAAGGCUGCCAUGAAUGUGUGAACAGACCAUUUCUAUAAAAGUCAGCCAUUGUACCAUGACCAAUGUUCCCUGCUGUUCUGAACAACUCCCAAAGACGACACCAAGACUUCUGGAGAUGAAGAAACUGAGGCUCAGGAAGAUGGUGAUGUACCCAAGGUCACUUCGCUCACGAGUGGAAGAACUGGUAUUUGAACUCAGAUGAAGAAACUUGGGUCAGAAGACGUGUCCAUGGACAGACAGGGCUUGAGGCAAGUCUUGAAUUUAAGUCUUCCUGACUUCAAGUCCAGCACUAACACAAUGAUCCAUGACCGGGUUUGGAAGCCUCCUCGGGCCUCAGUUUCCUCAAGUGUACCAUGAGGAGUAGGCAAGAGAGCAGUGUUAAGUUGGAUUGGACAGAAUGAAGAUAAUUGCUUUUCACCCAGAGCCUUGGGAAGCCCAUGAGAGGGCAAGGGGUCAUCUGAGUUCGUCGCAUCACCACACCUCCGUUUGGAAUCCUGUAGCAGUCUGGACCAGCAGCCUCCUCCAAGCCAAGGCUCCCAGCCUUCCCAUCAACACUGAGGCUGCUUCCCUCCGAGAUUCACAAGCCCUGGCUGGAGAAAUCAAUGGCUGGGUCUUUGUGGUCCAUUCAUCCAACUGUAGCCUGCCCCCGCCUGUGGGUGUCCUUGCUGAGCAGAAAAGGAAAACAGGAUUGGGAUAAACCUCAGGCUUUCUGGCUUAACUGGGAGGGUCUAGGGCUCUGCUCCCCGCUGCCAGCUUCCCUGCCUCCCCUGGACUGCGCCAGGCAGAUCACUUUCAGGCUCUCCCAAGGUCAGUCCCUUUCCUGAAGGAGGACACAGGAUGGGAGAGCCCGCUGCCCUAAGGACCCGAGGCCCCACGUCAGUGAAUUACCUGCAGCAGGCUCAGCUUUUAUGUGUCUUAGGUCUGUCUGUCUGUGCAAAGGAAAACCAGGUUUAUACAUCCCUCGAUGCAAAUUGUGGCCUAAAUAACUUGUAUUCAUUUCCUUAGAUGAGUAGAUAAUUUGACUGCUGGAUCCAGUGUGGUCCUAUAGUUAGAGAGUGGACCCGGAAUCAGGAAGAGGUGGGGGAGGCUGUCCAGUUUCUCUUCUCAGGCUUGCUGUGGAACCCUGUGAAAUCCCUCUAAGCCUCAGGUAUCAUCAAGUCCGUAAGUUAGCUACUGGGUGCUAUCUGUUUCUGUGAAAGGAAUUAUCAGUAGAGAACUCCUAGGUCCUUGAAGUCUUUGUAUUUGCUUAUUGAGGUACAUGAGGACAAGGUUUGCCAGGCACGCUGCUGGCCUUAAUCCCCUUUCCUAUGCCCUGCCCUCUAGCCCUUCUGGGCUGUACAUUUUUGCCCAGACACAUCAACCUUCUGCUUCAAUGGAACCUCUUGAGACAUGCUGACUCCUGCGGCCAGCUCUCUGGCUCCAGCCAGGCAGGAGGAGCUAAGCCAAGGGGCCAAGGGUCAAGAAGAUGGAGCUGGACCUCUGAGGUCUGCUGGUUGGUCUGGGAGCUGCUUCCGGAGCCAUGCCUGUACUCCCCUGUUGCCUCAAGUCAGGAUUCCCAGUCUGGAAUUGUGCGGUUCCUGGUACUUUACUACAGCCCGACUGUCAGUAAAGUCUUGCUUUUGCCCAUCACUUUCCAGGGAAGAGGGGCGGCAAGCCAUCUGACAGCAUGUAUCCCGGGAGGGAGGGCAGUGGGUUUGGAGUCUGAGGACCUGGAGUCAACAGGUGGAAACAAUGAGCUGGAUUUAAUGUGAUCAAAUUUAAUAGAAAUAUAAAGUCUAGAAUGGAGUUUAAAAACAUCCACCUGUGUGGACAAGUACAGGAUGGGAGAGAGAGCAAGGUGACAGUGCUCAUGAACAGUGUGAUGUGGCAGCUAUCAAUGGUGUGAUCUCAGCCUUCCUUAAGAGGACACGUCCAGGACCAGGAACGCCGUGGCCCCAUCAUCCCUCAACCCGACUGGACCACAUGUGGAGUCGUGGUCAGUCGUGCCAACUGUGUUUCAGGAAGGACGUGGGUGGGAGGGUGACCAGCUGGUGAGGGGACUUGGGACCACACCACAGAAAAAACAGCUGGAGGCCCUGGGACCAUUUAAACUGGAGAAGAGCCUCGCCUUCAGGUGCCUUCAGGCGUUGGAGGGCUGCUUUAGAAUAGAAGGAAGAGACUGCCUUUGCUUGGUCCCAGAGGGCACGAGCAGGAACAAUGCGGCAGAUGCAGAGGGUCCCGUUUUAGUUCGAUGUCAGGAAGAACCUUGGAACAAUGAGAGCCGUUCAAGGGGGCGUGGGCCGCCUUAGCAGGGGAUUGGUUCUUGUUCACUGGAGGUCUUCAGCCAGAGACGAGAGGACCCUUUGUUAGAAAUACUUUAGCUCAAGGGAUACUCGGGAGUCUCGGUCAGGUGCGCAUUAGGUGAGAGGUCCUUGGAGGGCCUUUCCCACUCAAGUUCUGUGAAUCAAUAUCUUCGGUUUUCCAGCUUUGUGACUUCAGGUCAAUCUCUUAAGCUCCUUGGGCUUCAGCUUCCUCAUCUGUGGAAUGAGGGAUUUGGACCAGAUCCAGAGUCCAAAGCUAUAGGUUGCUUCCAGCUCCGAUCCUGUGACUUUCCUCUGCACAGAACAAGGCUCUAUGUGAAGAAAUCGAUCUGUUGCAAACACUCCCGAACAUUUGGAAGCAGAAGGACCCAAAUAAAAACUCAAAGGAGAGGGAAGAAACAGGCAGGAGGAGAAUACAGACAGACAGAGAAACAGAAAAAUA